rnacentral:rRNA from 1 species
CAGCAGCCACGGUAAUACGAAGGUGGCUAGCGUUGUUCGGAUUUACUGGGCGUAAAGGGUGCGUAGGCGGACUGAUAAGUCAGGGGUGAAAUCCCAAGGCUCAACCUUGGAACUGCCUUUGAUACUGUUAGUCUUGAGUUCGAGAGAGGUGAGUGGAACUGCGAGUGUAGAGGUGAAAUUCGUAGAUAUUCGCAAGAACACCAGUGGCGAAGGCGGCUCACUGGCUCGAAACUGACGCUGAGGCACGAAAGCGUGGGGAGCAAACAGGAUUAGAUACCCCAGUAGUCCCUGUCUCUUAUAC